AUUGAACGCUGGCGGCAGGCUUAACACAUGCAAGUCGAGCGGGGGAAGGUAGCUUGCUACCGGACCUAGCGGCGGACGGGUGAGUAAUGCUUAGGAAUCUGCCUAUUAGUGGGGGACAACAUCUCGAAAGGGAUGCUAAUACCGCAUACGUCCUACGGGAGAAAGCAGGGGAUCUUCGGACCUUGCGCUAAUAGAUGAGCCUAAGUCAGAUUAGCUAGUUGGUGGGGUAAAGGCCUACCAAGGUGACGAUCUGUAGCGGGUCUGAGAGGAUGAUCAGGCACACUGGGACUGAGACACGGCCCAGACGCCUACGGGAGGUAGCAGUGGGGAAUAUUGGACAAUGGGGGGAACCCUGAUCCAGCCAUGCCGCGUGUGUGAAGAAGGCCUUAUGGUUGUAAAGCACUUUAAGCGAGGAGGAGGCUACUUUAGUUAAUACCUAGAGAUAGUGGACGUUACUCGCAGAAUAAGCACCGGCUAACUCUGUGCCAGCCGCCGCCGUAA
rnacentral:rRNA from 1 species